UGGGAUCAGGUAAGGGUGAAAGGGUGCGGUAAGAGCGCACCGCGCGGCUGGUAACAGUCCGUGGCACGGUAAACUCCACCCGGAGCAAGGCCAAAUAGGGGUUCAUAAGGUACGGCCCGUACUGAACCCGGGUAGGCUGCUUGAGCCAGUGAGCGAUUGCUGGCCUAGAUGAAUGACUGUCCACGACAGAACCCGGCUUAUCGGUCAGUUUCACUU
rnacentral:RNase_P_RNA from 1 species